ensembl:lncRNA
GUAAUAGGAGGAGGAUGAAGGGGAACAUGAGGAGGAUGAAGGGUAAUAGGAGGAGGAUGAAGGGGAACAUGAGGAGGAUGAAGGGUAAUAGGAGGAGGAUGAAGGGGAACAUGAGGAGGAGGAAGGUAACAUGAGGAGGAUUAAGGGUAAUAGGAGGAGGAUGAAGGGGAACAUGAGGAGGAGGAAGGGUAAUAGGAGGAGGAUGAAGGGGAACAUGAGGAGGAGGAAGGGUAAUAGGAGGAGGAUGAAGGGGAACAUGAGGAGGAGGAAGGUAACAUGAGGAGGAGGAAGGGUAAUAGGAGGAGGAUGAAGGGGAACAUGAGGAGGAGGAAGGUAACAUGAGGAGGAUGAAGGGUAAUAGGUGGAGGAUGAAGGGGAACAUGAGGAGGAGGAAGGUAACAUGAGGAGGAGGAAGGGGAAAAGGAGGAGGAUGAAGGGGAACAUGAGGAGGAGGAAGGUAACAUGAGGAGGAUGAAGGGGAAAAGGAGGAGGAUGAAGGGGAACAUGAGGAGACACCACUCAUAACCAUGAGUUUCUCAUAGGAACGUUUAGUCAUUUAAUACUGCUAUUUAUAGUGUGUUGGACAAUGUCCCCCAUAGCUCUCUCUUUAGAGCUCUCUCUUUGUCCCCUACGGCUCUGUCUUUGUCCCCCACAGCUCUCUCUUCAGAGCUCUCUCUUUGUCCCCCACAGCUCUCUCUCUUUGUCCCCCAC